CUGGCGGCGUGCCUAAUACAUGCAAGUCGAACGGUCUUUCUAUGGAAGCUUGCUUCCACUGAGAAGAUAGUGGCGAACGGGUGAGUAACACGUGGGUAACCUGCCCAUAAGAGGGGGAUAACAUCCGGAAACGGGUGCUAAUACCGCAUAGUUUUCUUGGUCGCAUGAUCGGGAAAGGAAAGACGGCCUUUGUGCUGUCGCUUAUGGAUGGACCCGCGGCGUAUUAGUUAGUUGGUGAGGUAACGGCUCACCAAGACGAUGAUACGUAGCCGACCUGAGAGGGUGAUCGGCCACAUUGGGACUGAGACACGGCCCAAACUCCUACGGGAGGCAGCAGUAGGGAAUCUUCCGCAAUGGACGAAAGUCUGACGGAGCAACGCCGCGUGAGUGAAGAAAAGGUUUUCGGAUCGUAAAACUCUGUUGUCAGAGAAGAACAAGUUGGAGAGUAACUGCUCCAGCCUUGACGGUAUCUGACCAGAAAGCCACGGCUAACUACGUGCCAGCCGCAGC
rnacentral:rRNA from 1 species